rnacentral:sRNA from 1 species
CAGGGUGUCCUGGCUUGAGAGCACAAAGUUCUCGUGUCGUGAAUCCUUUUGAAACCACCCCGUAUGCAAAGAUAAGAAUAACUAGCCAAUGCCCACCAGCCCCUGACUAAGCGCCCAACAGCCGAAGCAGGUCUUGGCAUCUGUAUGUCCGACUUCUCCUUUCCCGUCAUCGACUGCGGCAGCAGUGGGAACAGCUUCAACUGCUUCCAAACUCUCGAGACUCCAGCGCGGGAGCUUCUGGGUUGACGCGACACUGACAACUCUCUCCCAAGCCAGCAUUGCCUCAGAUCCCACAGUCUACCGCUGAAUUCCAUUAUUCCAAUGCAAUAACCCCCCCUUGUGCGACUUGCCCAGAGCACCAGUAUCCGCUUCGUUGCCUUUUUUCUUUUUCUUCUUCUUUUUUUGGAUGUGCUAAAAAUUCUAUCUCUAUAUGGCUCUCUUGUCAAGCCUCUCCCGUCCCAAUCGCUCUCUCUGUCUCUCGCCCAUAUUAGUCCAUGGCUAGAGGAAAGGCGCUGGACCAGCCCGACGCGGGCUUAAAAGGCCUGGACCAUUAUCAACAGAAACUCCCUAAAUGGCGGUACAAGCUCCGGACUGCCCUGCUGCCCUUGGUGCGGUGGGAAACGCCUUAUCUUGCUUGGUUCCAGGAGCGAAUGCGCAAUCCAUCUCUUGAUUCUUGGUUUGCGAUCACCGCCAACCUAGGGACCCAUACCUUCUAUAUGAUAAUGCUACCUGUUCUUUUCUGGUGUGGCUAUACAGAGGUCGGUCGAGGAAUCGUCCAUCUCUUAGCAUCAGGCGUCUUCAUCAGCGGCUGGUUUAAGGAUAUGUUAUGUCUUCCUCGACCUUUGUCUCCACCUCUCCAUCGAAUUACCAUGU